rnacentral:rRNA from 1 species
GAUGAACGCUGGCGGCGUGCCUAAUACAUGCAAGUCGAGCGAACAGACGAGGAGCUUGCUCCUCUGACGUUAGCGGCGGACGGGUGAGUAACACGUGGAUAACCUACCUAUAAGACUUGGAUAACUUCGGGAAACCGGAGCUAAUACCGGAUAAUAUAUCGAACCGCAUGGUUCAAUAUUGAAAGACGGUUUUGCUGUCACUUAUAGCUGGCUACGCCCCGCAUUAGCUAGUUGGUAAGGUAACGGCUUACCAAGGCAACGAUGCGUAGCCGACCUGAGAGGGUGAUCGGCCACACUGGAACUGAGACACGGUCCAGACUCCUACGGGAGGCAGCAGUAGGGAAUCUUCCGCAAUGGGCGAAAGCCUGACGGAGCAACGCCGCGUGAGUGAUGAAGGUCUUCGGAUCGGAAAACUCUGUUGUUAGGGAAGAACAAAAGUGUAAGUAACUAUGCACGUCUUGACGGUACCUAAACAGAAAGCCACGGCUAACUACGUG